CAGAAUCUUUGUAUAAAUGCCACAUUUUGGAUCUCUCAUUCUCUCACUCUUACUGCCUAGGGCUGCAUACAAACAGCCAUUUUUGCUUGAGAAGAAUGCUGGCAAUAAUAAAACCUGGAAAUUCUAUAAAUCCUUGUGAAAGUUGCUUUAGUAACUUCCUUUUUUUCACCUUCCUUAGUGGAGAAUUAACUUGAGCAUUCUUUAUAAAAGGAAAAAAAAUAAUAUUGUCAUUUCAGCGUCCUUGAGCCCAGGGUUCAAGUGAGUCUUAGAUUCGAUUUAUAAUGUUCUCUAUUUGGUUCCUGCUUUGUUUAUAUUUUUCCAGUUUGACUUUUCAUUAAUAUCUUGAACAAGUAAUUUUUAGUUCCAGCAUUUUUUUUUUUUUUGUAAUUAGAGUUCCUGAGACUGUGAUUAGACUUUAUUAUUUCCAUCUACUUUGUUUUCUUUUUCAGCUACUCCCAGUGUUCUACUGUGUCAAGUUCUUUUUAAUUGCUUCCUGAUUUACUUUCUUACUUCCUGUUUCUUGGGCCCUAGUUUUAUAUUUACUUCCUGUCUACCACUGACUCAAUUAUUUUCACCUAUGUUUCAUUCCUCUGAAUAAACUUCAGUAUGACUGUGACCAUUUAAAACACUGUCUUCUCUUUGUUCUUUGUUGGAGUAUCUGUUUGUCCUCCUUGUUUAUUUCGUUUUGCCUUUGUACUGGUUUAUUUUAUGGAUUUAUUUAAAACCUAAACAGAGGUUCAUUUCCUGUUAAUUGACGUUUGGUCUCAGAGUUUGCAUUUGGGUCUUCCUUUUAAAAUUUAUUGCAUGCUUACAAAAAUAUACUGAUAGCAAUAUCUAGGGUGCUACCACAGAUUCUUGGAGCAUGUGUCAAAUUCAUACUGAUACCACAAAAAUACACAAUGAUUUUCACAGUGUUUUCAUGUAGUACACAUGUGUUAUGAUAGAGUUUAUCUUGGCUAGUGUGAGAAAGUCAUGUCCAUUAGCUCAUUCAAAAAUUGGCCCUCGCUAAUUC
ensembl:lncRNA